rnacentral:misc_RNA from 1 species
AAGUCGUAACAAGGUUUCCGUAGGUGAACCUGCGGAAGGAUCAUUAUUGAAUAUUCCUGAUGAGUUGUAGCUGGCUCUUUGGAGCAUGUGCACGCUUGUCUUGAUCUUAUUCAUCCACCUGUGCACAUUUUGUAGUCUUUUGGGCUGAGUCGAGUAUCGGAUGGAUGUCUAUCCGGAUGUGAGGACUGCUGAGUGCGAAAGCAUACGGCUCUUCUCUGUUUGACCUCACCCUUGAGUACUAUGUAUUCAUAUACCACAUAGUAUGUUGUAGAAUGUGAUCAUUGGGUCUUUGUGCCUAUAAUAAUCAUAUACAACUUUCAGCAACGGAUCUCUUGGCUCUC